CUUCCUGCCAAGGAGGAGUAACCUGGAACUCUGGCAUUUUUCUGUCACUUCCUCGGGUGGGGAAGUGGGAUCAACUUUUCCAACAGGUGCCCCAGAUCCCAGCACUACAAACGUGGGCUCGAGCUCAUUUGGGGAGGCUGCGGAGAGAACUGCAAAGAUUCCACCUAAUCUCGCUCUGUAAAGUGCAAAUGCGAAGAAAACCACCCACAGCAAGAUGGGCUAAGGAACAUUUGUCAAUAAGAAAGAAAAUAAAAGCAGGCAUUAAAACAACAGAAAUAAUGACUCUGCUUUCCAGAUUUUGAUUCCAAAAUGUCUGGUGCCUCAGGCAGUUAUCUGUAAAACCCUUCUCCAGCGCAGUACCUCCCUUUUUGCCUCCAAUGGUUGGAGUUAACAAAUACUCUGUGCGUGAGGGAGAGCAGCUCUGACAGACAGCCCACAGCUACUGGAGAGCUGGGACUGCCAGCAGGGAAUGGAGACCAAAGUGCCAGAAAUAUUACAGCAAUAUAUCUUCUGCCUGGAAAGGAGUAUUUCCAUUUUCUUUGUCUUUGCUCCCCCUGUCCAAAGGAGCCACAGCCUUGAACUGCACCUAAAGCAGGGCUUUGUGCUGGGAACCCCUCGGAAAUUGCCUCUGCCAUGGGAAUUGUCUCAUCACACUCAGGAAUCACCACCCAACCUGCUCAUCUUUAUCUGCUGGGACACAAAACCCCACGGGUGGUUCUCAGUGGCCCUCACUGUGUCAGUCACCACGGAUUUCCCACGAGGGGACAUCACCCAGAGCAGUGGGAGGGUGGCCCCACAUUCCUGGUGAGAGGCACAUCCCGCUGGGAUCACUUUUGCUUUCCUUGGUUGUUUGUUUACAGGCCCAGGUAAAGCCCCGAGCUCCACCUGUGCUUGGAACUGUGAUGGUACCAGAAGCAGAUCAUCGAUAUUUAAACAACACCUGCUCCACAGCCUGCUGCCACAGGUUCUGCUUCCAUUACUGCCUUUUUACUGAGAAAACCAACAGUAUGGGACAGAUGAAAUAUCUCAUCCACUCUGACACUCAUCACUGCCUUUCUGGGAAAUCACUGACAUCAGAUCAGGGUUUAGAGCUGCCAGGAUACCCCAAAUGAACACCCUCAGGCUGAUCCCAACCCCUCCCAGGCGCAGGAGAGGCAGAGGAAGGGCCAGCCCAUGGCUCGGAGAUGUCACCUUGGAGUGACCAAGGCACGGAGCCAUCAGCACCUGGAAGAGCCACUCCCCUGUCUGAACCACAGGAAUGUCCAUCUCAGCCUGCAUUUGAUCCCAAAAUUGCUUUUAUUCCAUGUAACACUCUUUCAUCCAUUAUCCAGGGGUGUAGGAGGACUCGGAGUUGCGUCACCUUCC